ACGCCCCUAGAAGCAUUGAGGGGGCUGGCUGCUGUGUCCCAUGUGUGUCUGUAGGUGGCCGAGAGGAGAAAAGAAGCCAAGUCUGUGCUUAGUGUCCUGACCUGUGAACAUCUUGAAUGAUUAGUAGCCUAAUAUU